rnacentral:rRNA from 1 species
AACAGGAUUCCCUUAGUAAUGGCGAAUGAACAGGGAUGAGCUCAGCAUGGAAAUCGGGGUCUCCCGACCUUGAAUUGUAGUCUGUAGAUGUACUGCCAACGGAGGCGCAGAUGUAAGCCUCUUGGAAAAGAGCAUCAACGAGGGUGAGAGUCCCGUUUGUCAUCUGCAGUCCCCCGUGCACGGUGUGCCUUCUAAGAGUCACGUUCCUCGGGAUUGGAGCGCAAAGUGGGUGGUAAAUUUCAUCUAAAGCUAAAUAUUGGUUCGAGACCGAUAGCAAACAAGUACCAUGAGGGAAAGGUGAAAAGGACUUUGAAAAGAGAGUUAAAAGUGCCUGAAAUUGCUGAAAGGGAAGCGAAUGGAACCAGUGUUCUUGAUGAGAUUGUUGCGUACUCUGGUGAUUGCUGGGUGUUCCACCGCAAGGGGGGCAUCUAGUUUUGAGCUAGAUGUGCGUGGUGUUUCUUGUCUUGUGUGUCACCGUCGGUGCACGAGCGAGUAAACCUCCAGGGGGCUGGUAACUCGACCACGGUUGAGUGAAUACCUUUGGCAGUACUCAUUUGUGUAUCGAUCCCUGCGUGUCUGGUUGCAGUGUUUGGGUCGCCUGGAAACUCCUGAAGGGCUUGUCCUCGAAGGAGUCCUUUUGGGCGCCCUGAGCAUCUCCCUGACACAAAGACGA